rnacentral:rRNA from 1 species
UGGCGAGUGGCGGACGGGUGAGGAAUACAUCGGAAUCUACUUUUUCGUGGGGGAUAACGUAGGGAAACUUACGCUAAUACCGCAUACGACCUACGGGUGAAAGCAGGGGAUCUUCGGACCUUGCGCGAUUGAAUGAGCCGAUGUCGGAUUAGCUAGUUGGCGGGGUAAAGGCCCACCGAGGCGACGAUCCGUAGCUGGUCUGAGAGGAUGAUCAGCCACACUGGAACUGAGACACGGUCCAGACUCCUACGGGAGGCAGCAGUGGGGAAUAUUGGACAAUGGGCGCAAGCCUGAUCCAGCCAUACCGCGUGGGUGAAGAAGGCCUUCGGGUUGUAAAGCCCUUUUGUUGGGAAAGAAAUCCAGCUGGUUAAUACCCGGUUGGGAUGACGGUACCCAAAGAAUAAGCACCGGCUAACUUCGUGCCAGCAGCCGCGGUAAUACGAAGGGUGCAAGCGUUACUCGGAAUUACUGGGCGUAAAGCGUGCGUAGGUGGUCGUUUAAGUCCGUUGUGAAAGCCCUGGGCUCAACCUGGGAACUGCAGUGGAUACUGGGCGACUAGAGUGUGGUAGAGGGUAGCGGAAUUCCUGGUGUAGCAGUGAAAUGCGUAGAGAUCAGGAGGAACAUCCAUGGCGAAGGCAGCUGCCUGGACCAACACUGACACUGAGGCACGAAAGCGUGGGGAGCAAACAGGA